ACGGCUGCUCUAAUGGAUUAAGGCCAGGAAGACAUCCUGUUCCUGAAGGAGCUGUCAUGGAAAGAAAAGAAAAGAAGGAAUGAAGUUGAUGUUAUUUCACAUGGGGGAGCCUCAGGAACAAGCAUGUAACAUGAGGAGGCCAAAAGAAGUUGUCUGGCAAUUAUAAGAGUGGAUGGAGGAACUGCCUAUCCCGGUCCCAUGGUCUUGUCCACAGGUGAAAAGCUUUGUGAAGGAUUUUAAGGACUUCCUGUUGGCUGAAGGCUGGCAAAUGGCGUUUGCCAUCCUCUGACUGGAGCCAUUCUGAGGACUGGAAAGACUACCCUGAGAAGUGGCCUAUUUUAUCUCUACAGGAAG